GAAAAAAAUUAAAAACUCUUUAAAAUUUAAAGAAAAUAUAGAAUAUAAUUACUAGAAUCUUUUGUCCUUCGAUUUAUGUUUUUAAUUUGAAGCACUAAACAUGAACAAUUUCGCCUUUUCAUGUAUGAAAAGUAUUUAAAACCCAAACUUAAAAAAAACAUAAAGAAACUAAUGCAAUACCACAUGUACAAGCCCAAUUUAUGCCCAGGGCCCAAAACCAAAUCAAACCUAAACCCCAAAACCCCUAUCCAUUACAACCACAUUAACCCGAACCAGGCCCAAUACCCCAAAUUAGGCCCAAAACCCAAAGCCCAACAAAAUCGGCCCAACAAGCCCAAUACAAACCCUGGCAUUUCAGAAACCCUAGAAAAAAACCUUAGCCCCUAGCCUAGCGCCGCACGUCCCAUCGGCUACUUACCCUGCCACCGCCUCUAACCAGCGCCGCACCUGCCACUGCCCCUCGCACGCCUCCGUUACGUCACCACCAACUCUGCCAUCUGCUCCAAAUACCUACAAACAAAGCAAGCAAAACAGAAGCAAUACAAAUAGCAGAGAAACAUGAAAAAAAUAGAAAAAAUAUUGUAUCUAUUCGGCUAUAAAAGCAACAGACAUCAAUGUAUUCAGGGGGAUUUUUGAAAAAAAUACAAAAAAAAAGAGAAAAGAAAAUAAAAAAGAAACGUUGAAGGAGAUUUUACUUCUAUUUUGGUUUCAAAUCGGGCCGAUUCUACUGUUUUGUUUUUUUCAUUUAUUUUAUACGGAAAUAACAAGAAAAAGAAAGGAAAGGAGGAACUUACCGGGAUCGUUUCGCGUUUGUGUCGUCGGAGGCUUCUUUUUCGUCGACAGAAUUGAUUGUUGAAGGCCGGUGGUCCUCCCCCUUUUGUUCUCUUUUUGGUGUUUCGAGACCGGAUCCGUGUUUAAGUGGCCAGGAUCUAAAAAAAAGAGAACUUUUUGACCCUCCGCUGCCGUGCAUGGCGACGCCGGUGACCGGCGGCCGAUGCGGUGGCCCUCGGCCAGACCCAAGACCGGAGGGAGGGAGGUUUUCAGAGAGUAAACUCUCAUUUUUUUCUGAAAUAGAGAGAAGAAUGAUUUUUUUUUUAAAUCUAACUUAUAUAGGGCGAC
rnacentral:lncRNA from 1 species